GACGAACGCUGGCGGCGUGCUUAACACAUGCAAGUCGAGCGGUAAGGCCCUUUCGGGGGUACACGAGCGGCGAACGGGUGAGUAACACGUGGGUGACCUGCCCUUAGCUCUGGGAUAAGCCUGGGAAACUGGGUCUAAUACCGGAUAUGACUCCAUGACGCAUGUUGUGGGGUGGAAAGCCUUGUGCGGCUAGGGAUGGGCCCGCGGCCUAUCAGCUUGUUGGUGGGGUGAUGGCCUACCAAGGCGACGACGGGUAGCCGGCCUGAGAGGGCGACCGGCCACACUGGGACUGAGACACGGCCCAGACUCCUACGGGAGGCAGCAGUGGGGAAUCUUGCGCAAUGGGCGAAAGCCUGACGCAGCGACGCCGCGUGGGGAUGACGGCCUCGGUUGUAAC
rnacentral:rRNA from 1 species